GGAAACAGAGGAAAGAGGCAUUCCAAGAAAGAAGCCCCUAUAAGGCUUGAAGUGCCAGUUGCAUAGCUGCUCGUACUACUGGCUGUUUCAGAAGGUGGUGAGGAGGAAGGGGUUUCCAGCUGCCCACUCUUAUCAUCCUCGCUGUGAGAGUACACUAAAGGUGAUGGGAGGCUGAUGAGCUUUGCUGGUGGGGGCAGUGAAAAAGAGGGCAGUGGUUUACCAGGCUUUUCCUCCCAUAUGAAGGGAACUGAGGCAACUAGCUUGAGGGAAGGUUUUGGAACUGAUGUAACUGAAGAAGACCUAGGCUUCCAGUCCUUUUUAGGUAUUCCUGGCCUUUCUUCCCAAAGAAAUGGUACUGAAGGUGGCUGCCUCACAUGCUUCUUUGAGUUUGAGUGUUGUGUCAAUUCUUUCUCUACCAUUUUGGAAUUAAAUCUAUGCCCCUGUAGAUAUUCUUCAGUUGUAUUGUGUAUAUAUAUAUGUGUGUAGAAAAGUUGGCUACUAACUAUACAUGCUAACUGCACCAUUUUUGAGCUUGAAGAGAUUAGCUCAUGCUAGCUAACUGCACUAUCUUUGUGCGCAAAGAGGUUAGGUCACCUGCUUUCUCUC